AUUGGUUCCUGGAAAUAGCCCUCCAUCAGACCGUACCCUAAACCGACACAGGUGGACUGGUAGAGAAUACCAAGGCGCUUGAGAGAACGAUGUUGAAGGAACUCGGCAAAAUACCUCCGUAAGUUCGCGAGAAGGAGGCCCGGGUUCAAGGCAACUUGGAUCCGGGGGCACAAACCAGGGGGUGGCGACUGUUUAUUAAAAACACAGGGCUCUGCGAAGUCGCAAGACGACGUAUAGGGUCUGACGCCUGCCCGGUGCCUGAAGGUUAAAAGGAGGGGUGAGAGCUCUGAAUUGAAGCCCAGGUAAACGGCGGCCGUAACAAUAACGGUCCUAAGGUAGCGAAAUUCCUUGUC
rnacentral:rRNA from 1 species